GGGCGGUUAGUUCAGUUGGUGGAACGCACGCUUCACAUGCGUGAAGUCAUAGGUUCGAGCCCUAUACCGCCCA
rnacentral:tRNA from 1 species